GAUGAACGCUGGCGGCGUGCCUAAUACAUGCAAGUCGAGCGAAUGGAUUAAGAGCUUGCUCUUAUGAAGUUAGCGGCGGACGGGUGAGUAACACGUGGGUAACCUGCCCAUAAGACUGGGAUAACUCCGGGAAACCGGGGCUAAUACCGGAUAAUAUUUUGAACUGCAUGGUUCAAAAUUGAAAGGCGGCUUCGGCUGUCACUUAUGGAUGGACCCGCGUCGCAUUAGCUAGUUGGUGAGGUAACGGCUAACCAAGGCAACGAUGCGUAGCCGACCUGAGAGGGUGAUCGGCCACACUGAGACUGAGACACGGCCCAGACUCCUACGGGAGGCAGCAGUAGGGAAUCUUCCGCAAUGGACGAAAGUCUGACGGAGCAACGCCGCGUGAGUGAUGAAGGCUUUCGGGUCGUAAAACUCUGUUGUUAGGGAAGAACAAGUGCUAGUUGAAUAAGCUGGCACCUUGACGGUACCUAACCAGAAAGCCACGGCUAACUACGUGCCAGCAGCCGCCGUAA
rnacentral:rRNA from 1 species